UCUAUUCUCUGUGUCGUAUCUUAUUAAAUUGGAACAAUAUAGAGAACAUUAACAUGGCCCUUGCACAAGGAUGACAUGCACAAAUUGAGAAAUGGACCAAAUUUUA